GGGUCAGUGGCGAAACUGGCAGACGCACGGGGCUUUUCAGCGAAUCCACGGAUUCCCUGAACAACCCCGAUGCCGCUCGGCGGCUUGUGAGUUCGAAUCUCACCUGACCUA
rnacentral:tRNA from 1 species